AUGAAGAAGAUAUUGGUGUCUCUGAGACUUGAGUUGAAGGAAGAAGGAAGAAUAUUAAACAGUUGUCCCCCCAUCUCCCUGACAGUCUUUUAUGUCACAGCUGUGACAGGACUGACAUUUCCAAAAAUCCUCCUAACCCUCCUUAUAGACUAGGGAUACCCCCAUCCCUCUCACAUCUUCUUCCAUCCUGUCCAGUCUUUACCAAUAAACCUCCUUACCUGAGAAAGAGAGAAAGAGUAUCUUCUCUAAACCUCACAGUUCACCUUGAGUUAUAUAGAAAGGUGGCUCACUAACAGGGGGGAGGGGAAGGGAGACAGGAAGGAAUGGGUGGAAAACUGGUAGGUGAAAGGUGGAGGGUAGGAAAUAUCUUGAUCUAUUAGCUAUUAGUAGUGAUCAAUAGGCAACCCCAGAGUAUCCCCUCAGUAGUAUCUCUCUAUCUCCUAGUAUAUCCUUUAUUACUAUAGACAACCCCAGUAUCCUCUUCAUUACAACAGAAAUAUCUCCAGACUAUCAUUUUUAUUACAGAUGGGAUUGUUUAAGUAAUCUAUUUCCUCUUGUGUCAAUCUAGGCAAUUUAUAAUUUUGUAAAUAUUCACCCAUUUCAUCUACAUUGUCGUAUUUAUUACCAUAUAAUUGAGCAAAAUAGUUCUUAAUAAUUACCUCGAAUUCCCCAUCAUUAGAGUUGAGGAGCUUCUGUCUUGAAGGGUUUUCUUUGCCUUGGUUGUAUCUUCCAGGCAAUUCUUUAGUAGCAUACUUUAAAGCAUUUUGUCCUAAAGCUAUUCUUCCAGUCCCUGCUUCCUAUGCUGUGGUCAGCCCCUCUUCUGUCCAGUCUCUGUGCUGUGCUGCCCAGGCUUCACACUCUUCAGACUCAGGUCCCUAGUCUUGCUGCUAAGGCCUUGCACUGCCCUCAGGGACUUUGUAUUGAUUUGGUUGGAAGGAUAUACAGAAAGUUCCUGCUACUCUGAGGCUUAGUUCUGCCUAGACUGAUAUAUUAUGUAACAAUCAAAUCUAAUAGACUUUGCUACUAGCAGUAAUGCAAUGAUCCAAGAUAAUGCAAAGGAACUUAUGAGAAAAGAACUCUAUCCACAUCCAGAGAAAGAACUGUGGUAACAGAAAAGCAGAAGAAAAACAUGAUUUCACAUGGUUCAAUAUGGAUAUGAUUGGGAUUUUGCUGUUAAAGGAUCACUGUACUGCAAAUAUGAAUAAAUGGAAAUAGAUUUUGAACA
rnacentral:lncRNA from 1 species